CCUGGCUCACGACGAACGCUGGCGGCGCGCCUAACACAUGCAAGUCGAACGAGCGAGAGAGAGCUUGCUUUCUCGAGCGAGUGGCGAACGGGUGAGUAACGCGUGAGGAACCUGCCUCAAAGAGGGGGACAACAGUUGGAAACGACUGCUAAUACCGCAUAAGCCCACGGUGCCGCAUGGCACAGAGGGAAAAGGAGCAAUCCGCUUUGAGAUGGCCUCGCGUCCGAUUAGCUAGUUGGUGAGGUAAUGGCCCACCAAGGCGACGAUCGGUAGCCGGACUGAGAGGUUGAACGGCCACAUUGGGACUGAGACACGGCCCAGACUCCUACGGGAGGCAGCAGUGGGGAAUAUUGCACAAUGGGGGAAACCCUGAUGCAGCGACGCCGCGUGGAGGAAGAAGGUCUUCGGAUUGUAAACUCCUGUUGUUGGGGAAGAUAAUGACGGUACCCAACAAGGAAGUGACGGCUAACUACGUGCCAGCAGCCGCGGUAAAACGUAGGUCACAAGCGUUGUCCGGAAUUACUGGGUGUAAAGGGAGCGCAGGCGGGAAGACAAGUUGGAAGUGAAAUCUAUGGGCUCAACCCAUAAACUGCUUUCAAAACUGUUUUUCUUGAGUAGUGCAGAGGUAGGCGGAAUUCCCGGUGUAGCGGUGGAAUGCGUAGAUAUCGGGAGGAACACCAGUGGCGAAGGCGGCCUACUGGGCACCAACUGACGCUGAGGCUCGAAAGUGUGGGUAGCAAACAGGAUUAGAUACCCUGGUAGUCCACACCGUAAACGAUGAUUACUAGGUGUUGGAGGAUUGACCCCUUCAGUGCCGCAGUUAACACAAUAAGUAAUCCACCUGGGGAGUACGACCGCAAGGUUGAAACUCAAAGGAAUUGACGGGGGCCCGCACAAGCAGUGGAGUAUGUGGUUUAAUUCGACGCAACGCGAAGAACCUUACCAAGUCUUGACAUCCCUUGACAGGCAUAGAAAUAUGUUUUCUCUUCGGAGCAAGGAGACAGGUGGUGCAUGGUUGUCGUCAGCUCGUGUCGUGAGAUGUUGGGUUAAGUCCCGCAACGAGCGCAACCCUUAUGGUCAGUUACUACGCAAGAGGACUCUGGCCAGACUGCCGUUGACAAAACGGAGGAAGGUGGGGAUGACGUCAAAUCAUCAUGCCCUUUAUGACUUGGGCUACACACGUACUACAAUGGCGUUAAACAAAGAGAAGCAAGACCGCGAGGUGGAGCAAAACUCAGAAACAACGUCCCAGUUCGGACUGCAGGCUGCAACUCGCCUGCACGAAGUCGGAAUUGCUAGUAAUCGUGGAUCAGCAUGCCACGGUGAAUACGUUCCCGGGCCUUGCACACACCGCCC
rnacentral:rRNA from 1 species